CACGUAGGGGCCAAGCGUUGUCCGGAUUUAUUGGGCGUAAAGAGCUCGUAGGCGGCUCGGUAAGUCGGGUGUGAAACCUCCAGGCCCCAACCUGGAGACGCCACCUGAUACUGCUGUGGCUAGAGUCCGGUAGGGGAGCGUGGAAUUCCUGGUGUAGCGGUGAAAUGCGUAGAUAUCGGGAGGAACACCCGUGGCUAAGGCGGCUCUCUAGUACGGUACUGACGCUGAGACGCGAAAGCGUGGGGAGCGAACAGG
rnacentral:rRNA from 1 species